rnacentral:misc_RNA from 1 species
CAUAUAAUUCAUGGCCUGCAAGCUUAAUACAUUAAAUAUACAAUCAGAAGCAGAGGCAUCAUCAAAAUAUGUUGAAGGAUGUACAAGUAGAUCUUCUCACCAAAAAAGGAAACGUCUGCAUCAUUAUUCAUACUAGUUACAGCCACAUAAACUUCACCAGAAGGCUACAGGUGCAAAAUCAAGUAUGCAUGUGCACUUGUGUUGCUAGUGGUUGAACAAUAUGGUUAUGUUUGUUUGAUCUAAUACCUAGAAUACUGAAGAGUUACAAUAUUUAACAAGCACAGUGCUGAGGUCUUGCAAAAACAAGAGACAAGAUCCACUGAUCAGAGAGCACUCAAAAUGAAAACCAUAAAUAAUAAUAGCCUCUGCUGCUAGAAAAACAAGACUAUAGUCACUAGUUCAUCCUUAUUCAUUGCAUAAUACCUUUGAAAAGAUGCAAUUACGUAGUCUGUAGUUACAGAAGGUACAGCUGAAAUUCUGCAUCCACCUUCUUGAUUCACAACAUUUGGUAAAUUGACCAUUAUCACAAAAUUCUAAUAUAUAUAUAUAUAUUAACUCAA